UACGUAGGCAGCGAGCGUUGUUCGGAUUUACUGGGCGUAAAGCGUGCGUAGGCGGUGGUCCAAGUCUGGUGUGGAAUCUCCCGGCUUAACUGGGAGGGUGCGCCGGAAACUGGGCCGCUGGAGUACGGGAGAGGCAAGCGGAAUUCCAGGUGUAGCGGUGAAAUGCGUAGAUAUCUGGAGGAACACCCGUGGUGCAGACGGCUUGCUGGACCGUGACUGACGCUGAGGCACGAAAGCGUGGGUAGCAAACAGG
rnacentral:rRNA from 1 species